rnacentral:piRNA from 1 species
UUAACACCACUGUCUCUAGCACUUGUACCCU